GGCUCAUCGAGUCCAUACGAUAGGAGACAUUUUCGAAAAACAUUUUGGAUUUUUUAUUAAAUCAAAUCAAAUAUAUUGUUAGUAUUUGUUUGCGUACAUACAAAAACCAAGUCAAAUAUAUUUCGUCAUUGAGUCAUUCUUUUAUAUUUCUCAAAAUUUUGUCCAAUUCGAUCGAUCAAUCUUUACCAAUCCCCUGCUCAAACCCCUUGAUUCGAUCCAUUGAUACAUUUCCUUUCACGCCGUGGUUGUGCAAUCAGCCGAGAUUUUUUGCAGCUACAGGUUGCUAGCUGAUUUCCAGUCUGCCUUUGCUUUCAACCACAGGUCAAUCAGGUCUGUGCAUCUGGGAAUCAAGUUAAAGUGGAUUUACAUAAUAAGAUUUAAGGUGGGGCUUUGGAGCAACUUCUAUUGUGGUUGAUUCUAUGACGAGAUUGUUGGAUGUAUCAUCCGACAAUCCUGAGUUGAGAAAUGAUUGCC